CCAGACUCCUACGGGAGGCAGCAGUGGGGGAUAUUGCACAAUGGGGGAAACCCUGAUGCAGCGACGCCGCGUGUGGGAAGACGGUCCUCUGGAUUGUAAACCACUGUCCCCAGGGACGAAAAUGACGGUACCUGGGGAGGAAGCUCCGGCUAACUACGUGCCAGCAGCCGCGGUAAUACGUAGGGAGCGAGCGUUGUCCGGAAUUACUGGGUGUAAAGGGAGCGUAGGCGGCCUGGCAAGCCUGAUGUGAAAUACCGGGGCCCAACCCCGGGGCUGCAUUGGGAACUGCCAGGCUGGAGUGCCGGAGAGGCAGGCGGAAUUCCUAGUGUAGCGGUGAAAUGCGUAGAUAUUAGGAGGAACACCAGUGGCGAAGGCGGCCUGCUGGACGGUGACUGACGCUGAGGCUCGAAAGCGUGGGGAGCAAACAGGAUUAGAUACCCGUGUAGA
rnacentral:rRNA from 1 species